AGGGCAUAGCUCAAGCGGUAGAGCACAUGCUUAGCAUGCACGAGGUCCUGGGUUCAAUUCCCCAGUGUACCUC
rnacentral:tRNA from 1 species